CGAGGCUCACAGGGUUAAUAGCCCUGAGGAGUGACGGUACCUCCAGAAGAAGCCCCGGCUAACUACGUGCCAGCAGCCGCGGUAAUACGUAGGGGGCAAGCGUUGUCCGGAUUUAUUGGGCGUAAAGCGCGUGUAGGCGGCCAGGUAGGUCAGUUGUGAAAACUCGGGGCUCAACCCCGAGACGUCGAUUGAAACCCCCUGGCUAGAGUCCGGAAGAGGAGAGUGGAAUUCCUGGUGUAGCGGUGAAAUGCGCAGAUAUCAGGAAGAACACCCGUGGCGAAGGCGGCUCUCUGGGACGGUACUGACGCUGAGACGCGAAAGCGUGGGGAGCGAACAGGAUUAGAUACCCUGGUAGUCCACGCCGUAAACGAUGGGUGCUAGGUGUGGGGGGUGUCGACUCCCUCCGUGCCGAAGCUAACGCAUUAAGCACCCCGCCUGGGGAGUACGGCCGCAAGGCUAAAACUCAAAGGAAUUGACGGGGGCCCGCACAAGCAGCGGAGCAUGUGGUUUAAUUCGACGCAACGCGAAGAACCUUACCAGGGCUUGACAUGCACUGGAAACCUCUGGAAACAGAGGCUCCCUUCGGGGCCAGUGCACAGGUGGUGCAUGGCUGUCGUCAG
rnacentral:rRNA from 1 species